rnacentral:lncRNA from 1 species
AAAAAAUUAAUAUACUAUACAACCUUCUUAUAAGGUCCUCCGAAAUUCCUCGGGCUUCAUCACGUCUGGAAAACAAUAUUAAAGGAAUGGCAGGAAGUAAGCUCAUGCAACAUUCAAUUAAGUGGUCCUCUAACCAGUUCCCAUGACUUCUCUGCACAUGUCCAGCCAGACCCCCUUAUUUUAUGAUACACAAAACAGUCCCUAAGCAUCACAAUGUAGAAGUAACAAUAUGAACUCACG